rnacentral:piRNA from 1 species
UACCGCUACAAGAUAGCUGAUGUCGAAAU